rnacentral:lncRNA from 1 species
AAAUCAAUUCUGGGGAAUGCCUCUUAGGACUGCAGUGAUGAAGCAUAAUAGAACCAGCCAUGUGUGGAGAUGACAUCAGAGGAUAAACCAGCUUGUCCUGGCUGAAAUCAAAUGGGGUUAGCUCAAGAGCAAGGACAGAAAAGAAACAUGAUCAUUCCAAAGGAUAGUUUCCAGCAAGGGCUAACUUGGAUAUGCAGCCACCUGGGGAGUUCUUCUGCUUGUCAAGCCCAGCUCAGCAGCAGCUCUGGGUUUGUUUGGAGAUUCUCGAAGCCUCUUGAAAGCUGUAACUAAAGUAAGGUGCUGGGAUGCCAAAAAGGAAAUGAAAGCCAGGAUCCAUCUGGAGACCUCUACACAUUCUCUGUUGCAAAAGGCUGAUGAAUGAAGG